UCCAGACUCCUACGGGAGGCAGCAGUGGGGAAUAUUGGGCAAUGGGCGCAAGCCUGACCCAGCAAUGCCGCGUGAAGGAAGAAGGCCUUCGGGUUGUAAACUUCUUUUAUCAGGGACGAAGGAUGUGACGGUACCUGAUGAAUAAGCUCCAGCUAACUACGUGCCAGCAGCCGCGGUAAUACGGAGGAUGCGAGCGUUAUCCGGAUUUAUUGGGUUUAAAGGGUGCGCAGGCGGCACGGCAAGCCGGCGGUCAAACCGCGGGGCUAAACCCCGCCCAGCCGUCGGAACUGCCGGGCUAGAGUGGGCGAGAAGUGCGCGGAAUGCGUGGUGUAGCGGUGAAAUGCAUAGAUAUCACGCAGAACUCCGAUUGCGAAGGCAGCGCACCGGCGCCCUACUGACGCUCAGGCACGAAAGCGUGGGUAUCGAACAGGAUUAGAUACCCUUGUA
rnacentral:rRNA from 1 species